AUAAAGAGUGGAGUCACUGAGAUCGAGUCAGUUAAGCCUGUCUCUAAGACACAGUGGAGAUGGAUUUUUCUCUUCGAUUUUUGGUGACCUUCUUUGUGAUGAUUGAAGGGUCCUGUGGAGAUAUCAUUAUGACUCAGUCUCCCUCAAGUCUCUCUGCACGGCCAGGAGAAACUGUCAGCAUGAACUGUAAGGCCAGCAGCUCCAUUUCCGAUAGCAUCCUUGACUAUCUUGCCUGGUAUCAGCAGAGAGCAGGAGAAGCUCCAAAACUCUUGAUUUACUUAGCAAGCACUCUGCAGUCUGGGAUCUCAAGUCGCUUCAGUGGCAGUGGCUCUGGACUGGAUUAUACGCUGACCAUCAGUAACGUGCAGCCUGAAGAUGCAGGACAUUACUACUGUCAGCAGCGCUACAGCUACCCUCUCACACAGUGACACAGAGCCGUACAAAAACUCCCUCGACUUGUCUGUGCAGCUGCUGCUCUUAAUUUUUCUGGUGAUAAGAGAGAAGUCACGGGGUUGGCAGACAAAGGAGGAAGAAAGAGAAAAAGAGAACAGAAAGAGAAAGAGAGUCUUCUGAUCACAACAUAUUACAGAAAGGGCAAUACAUGAGAAAAUGACCCAAUCCAGAAAACCUUUAGGGUAAAGAAAUAAUAUUAUAAAUAUUUCUAUUUUACUAGCUGUGUUAGUUGUCUUUGCCUGGAAAAUUUCAUAAGGCAAUGGAUCUUAGUUAUAUUGUCGUUGGUUUUUUGAAUGUAUUGCAUGUACUUUGCAACUAAGUAAAUACUUUUUUGUGCACAGUAUUUGUAUUUUAUU